GAUGAGGUCCAUCUCAUUGAAGAAGUAUUAGGCAUGUGCCUAAUAAAAGUUUUCUUUGGUUUGGUAGCCAACCUUGUUGACUUGGUUUGGUUGGUAGCCAACCUUGUUGAAUUUCUUUGGUUUGGUAGCCAACUUUGUUGAAUUGUGAAAAGUGUGUGUAAAUUGUCAAAUAUGGUAGGCUUUAGAGAGUGAAACUUUGGCUAUAAAAGGAGAGCUUCAACUCUCAUUUCCACACACCAAUAAAGAGAGAAAGAAAGAGUGAGGUUUCACAGACAAGGUAUAAGAAAAUAGUCUGUGAGGAAAAUAGAGAGUGAGCGAUAUUGUAGUGAGGUGGAAUAUCAAAAGAGG
rnacentral:lncRNA from 1 species